ACAUAAGGUGGAGAAAGUGGGUGACAAGGAAAACGAUGAAUCGGUUAUGCAGGACAACGCCUUGUAUAUCAGCUCGCCAGCAGUGACUACACAUGAAUUCAACACCAACGAUAUGUAUACUGAAGUGCAUAAACCGAAAAGGGUUGCAGAUAAUUACCUCUAGGUCAGCAAGAAUAAUGAACGUACAGAAGCUGCGGAAAUGACAGUAAUUCAUCUCACAGCAUGACGGUAACGAGGAAGAAAGCCUACCACACACACAACUAUCGAACACACCGCACUUGAUUGCACUUCCUGAUUGCGUAAGAUAAUGUGCCGAAUGGAGAUGUAUCACAUUUGAGGCAAAGUGUGGGUCAUAAAGGCUGUGUUGCCUUUUGGGUCAGUGGAUUCUAUUUCGUCGUAUAAUCGAUACUAGUUAUUCUCUGGCAAUGACGGUUAAUAUUUACAAGAAAAUAUCACCGUCAUGAAUCUAUUCAUGGGUGUAUAUAUUGCGGAAAAAAAUGUCAAUUGCACUCUCACAGAGUGACGUUUUGCAUUAAACAUGUUGCCUUUUA